GAGACCCCAGAUCAGGUGGGACUACCC
rnacentral:rRNA from 1 species